AUUGAACGCUGGCGGCAGGCUUAACACAUGCAAGUCGAGCGGGGAAAGGUAGCUUGCUACCUGACCUAGCGGCGGACGGGUGAGUAAUGCUUAGGAAUCUGCCUAUUAGUGGGGGACAACAUUCCGAAAGGAAUGCUAAUACCGCAUACGCCCUACGGGGGAAAGCAGGGGAUCUUCGGACCUUGCGCUAAUAGAUGAGCCUAAGUCAGAUUAGCUAGUUGGUGGGGUAAAGGCCUACCAAGGCGACGAUCUGUAGCGGGUCUGAGAGGAUGAUCCGCCACACUGGGACUGGGACACGGACCAGACUCCUACGGGAGGCAGCAGUGGGGAAUAUUGGACAAUGGGCGAAAGCCUGAUCCAGCCAUGCCGCGUGUGUGAAGAAGGCCUUUUGGUUGUAAAGCACUUUAAGCGAGGAGGAGGCUACCGAGAUUAAUACUCUUGGAUAGUGGACGUUACUCGCAGAAUAAGCACCGGCUAACUCUGUGCCAGCCGCCGCCGUAAUAC
rnacentral:rRNA from 1 species